AGACAUCAAAGAGGAAGAAAAGUUGGUCGGUGGAGACAAGGGGGACGAUGUCAGUGAGGAUGAAAAUAACAAAGAAGCACCGAAGGAAAAUAAUGAGGACAAACUGGCUGAAGAAGGGAAAGAGGAGGAAACAAAUAAAGAAGAGGAAGCAAAGGAAACAAGCAAAGAAGAGGAAGUGGAGGCAGAAACUGAAGUUGAUGAGCUAAACGUGGAAGACAAAAAAACAGAGAGUAAGGACGAGAAUGAAAAUGAAAUAAAUGACAGGAAGGAUGAGGAUGAAGAUAAAGAAGAAGAGACGAAGGACGAGAAGGAAGAUGAAAAAGAAGAGAGCAUGGAUGAUAAGGAAGAUGAAAAAGAAGAGAGUAAUGAUGAUAAGGAAGACAAAAAUGAAGAUAUCAAGAAGUCUAACAAGCGAGGGAAAGGGAAGACUGAGAAGGCUCGCGGGAAGACAAAGAGUGAGGAAGAAAAGAAGGAUAUCGAACCCAGGACUCCUUUCU
rnacentral:lncRNA from 1 species